CUGCUUCCUUCAGCAGCAUAUACACUGAAAUUUAAACAAAACAGAGAAGGAUUGUGUGGCUGCUGCAUAAGGCCGACACUCAAAUUCGCAAUGUAUUCCAUAUGUUU
ensembl:snRNA Gm24304 U6 spliceosomal RNA